rnacentral:pre_miRNA from 1 species
UUUGUACUCCCUCCGUCCCAAAAUUCUUGUUUUAAAUUUGUCUAAAUACGGAUGUAUCUAGUUACAUUUUAGUGUUAGAUACAUCUGUAUCUAAACAAAUGUAAGACAAGAAUUUUGGGACGGAGGAAUACUAC